CAGCGUUGUUAGGAGGGGGAGACACCAGAGCACCAACUUCUCUCACUUAAACCUUAUGACAACCUUAAGAAGUAGGCAGCAUGAUCCCCUUCUUGGAAAUGCAGAAAGAGAGAAUGGGGGAGAUUGAGAGGCUUGCAGAAUGUGACAUCAUUAGGGAGAACAGUGGUUGAGGUCCAGCAGCUCCUGCAGAUGGGUGGUGGUGGAAGGAGGAGAGAAUGGGCCACAGGCAGGCCAAGGGCAAGCUUAGCAGCACUCAACAUCCUCCAUGAACUCAACAGAAGUCAAGAAUGCAGGCAGCUCAUGAUGAAGACCUGCAGCGGCCCAGGUUUACCAAGCUCAUUCACAAUUGCAGUUGGAGAAUUCGUCUUUGGUCAUUUUCUACUUUGGAAAUACGGUACAACUGGUCAGGGAGAACCAAUGGCAGACAUGUGCUAUAUCCCAACACACCUUGACUCUUGCUCUCACCGGAAGCUCAGCUUAGGGAAAGGAGAUCUUAAUAGGAGACAGAAGACCCGGACGCUGGUUUUGAUUGUGCCCUUCUCCAGCUGUGUGGCCUUGAGCAGCUGGUAUGUGGCAACGACCUGACUUCAACCAGGAAGACAAGGUUGAUGACCUAAGGAAUAGCACUGUAGCAAAUGGAAGGAUCCCUGAGUGACUGUGUGGAGCAGAGCCCUCCUACCAGCCUGGACUAGCCAACAUAAGAUUAAGU
rnacentral:lncRNA from 10 species